GACAGAGGGUGCAAGCGUUGUUCGGAAUCAUUGGGCGUAAAGGGCGCGUAGGCGGUUUGGUAAGUCGGAUGUGAAAGCCCAGGGCUCAACCGUGGAAGUGCAUCCGAAACUACUGAACUAGAGUCCCGGAGAGGGUGGUGGAAUUCCCAGUGUAGAGGUGAAAUUCGUAGAUAUUGGGAGGAACACCGGUGGCGAAGGCGACCGCCUGGACGGAGACUGACGCUGAGGCGCGAGAGCGUGGGGAGCAAACAGG
rnacentral:rRNA from 1 species